rnacentral:rRNA from 1 species
GGACGAGAAGCUUGCUUCUCUGAUGUUAGCGGCGGACGGGUGAGUAACACGUGGAUAACCUACCUAUAAGACUGGGAUAACUUCGGGAAACCGGAGCUAAUACCGGAUAAUAUUUUGAACCGCAUGGUUCAAAAGUGAAAGGCGGUCUUGCUGUCACUUAUAGAUGGAUCCGCGCUGCAUUAGCUAGUUGGUAAGGUAACGGCUUACCAAGGCAACGAUGCAUAGCCGACCUGAGAGGGUGAUCGGCCACACUGGAACUGAGACACGGUCCAGACUCCUACGGGAGGCAGCAGUAGGGAAUCUUCCGCAAUGGGCGAAAGCCUGACGGAGCAACGCCGCGUGAGUGAUGAAGGUCUUCGGAUCGUAAAACUCUGUUAUUAGGGAAGAACAUAUGUGUAAGUAACUGUGCACAUCUUGACGGUACCUAAUCAGAAAGCCACGGCUAACUACGUGCCAGCAGCCGCGGUAAUACGUAGGUGGCAAGCGUUAUCCGGAAUUAUUGGGCGUAAAGCGCGCGUAGGCGGUUUUUUAAGUCUGAUGUGAAAGCCCACGGCUCAACCGUGGAGGGUCAUUGGAAACUGGAAAACUUGAGUGCAGAAGAGGAAAGUGGAAUUCCAUGUGUAGCGGUGAAAUGCGCAGAGAUAUGGAGGAACACCAGUGGCGAAGGCGACUUUCUGGUCUGUAACUGACGCUGAUGUGCGAAAGCGUGGGGAUCAAACAGGAUUAGAUACCUGGUAGUCCACGCCGUAAACGAUGAGUGCUAAGUGUUAGGGGGUUUCCGCCCCUUAGUGCUGCAGCUAACGCAUUAAGCACUCCGCCUGGGGAGUACGACCGCAAGGUUG